UAGGUGUUUAGGAAAGCUGCAAUCUUCCCU
rnacentral:piRNA from 1 species